UUCUUACAUAAUAAUUUUGAUAAAUUGUUUUUAGAUCUGUUGAUUUGACUAAAUUUCUAGAUUUGUUAGUAAAACUGUUCUCUUCGCGUAUAACAUUAUCAUGUUUUAUUGGAUAAAAUAUAAUAUGUAAACAAUAUAUGUAUGUGUGUUUUGCAAUUUUUUUAGCAUUUUGUACGUCGCAUUGCGAAACUCUUGGACGUUAAAUUAAUAAAAGGUAAAGUAUUAAUAUUUGAACAGGAAAAACCUCUUUUCUCUCAAUAUUGAAUUCUUCAUGGAUAAGCUGUUCUGAUUGGUCUCGAACGUCCCAUUCUCCGAGUCGAACUUUCAAAUUGUUAUUCGGCGUCCUGUGUGCCGCAGUGACCACCCAUCUGUUGUUCAGCAAGGCACCGCCGCAAGACAGCUUUUAGUCUGUAAGAAUCCCGACUUGAUAAUGGCAGCCUGCAACAAAGGGAACAUUUAAAGAUCUACUUACAGGCGAACCGAGCAAAUUGAUGGAUCGUCCACAAUGAAUAAUGCAGAG